CCACAGUGUGCCUUGUCCUGAGCAAGCAUUGAAUUCUGUGGGUCCUCACCAAUGCCUGAAUUCAUGGUCCUCAGGAAAUUUAUUUUUGUUCAUGUGUCUGCUGUUCAGAUGCUCCUCAUAGAGACUUCCUCUCCUUUUCCUUUGUUUUUGGACCUAUGUCUUCAGGACAGCCCCGAUUCUUCUACCAGUUCUGAACUAAAGCUUCCUAGUUCUGAGUGUGAAGAGAGCACUGAGAAGAUGGGAGAGAACAAAGUCCACACCAAGAAACAGAGUAUGUGGACUGUGUUCUCUCAGGCCAAAGCUGCGUGUACUUAAGGACAGGUUUCAGGGGCAGAGGUAUCUCAGCCUCUGGCAGAUGCAAGAACUGUCUCUGCCACUCUAAAGCAUAGCUAGAAGCAGGUUAAAACCUGGUUCUUCCAAAACCAGAGAAUGAAAUAUAAGCGAUGGCAGAAAAAUCAAUGGCUGAAGAUUAGCAACAAUGUGACCAGAAGGAGCUAUCCCCAGGGCAACCAGUUGAACACAUCUGGAAAUCUUCCAGUGUGGGGCAGCCAUACUUGAAACAGCUCGCCUAGAUAUAAUCAGACUUGGACCAAUCUACCCUGGAGCAACCAACUUGCAGCAAGCAGAUCUGGAACAAAACACUCAUGCCUGGUGUAUUCAAAUCUGAAACAGUUGGGCAUGGACUGUUCCUUUCUAUAACUGUGGGGCAGAGUCUACAGGCUUACAUGCAGUUCCAGCAGAACUUCUCUGCCAGUGAUUUGGAGGCAAAUUUGGAGGCCAAGUAUGCACAUUUUAGCACCCCAUAAACUUUGGAAUUCCUACUAUGAAUUUGCCAGGUGAAGUGUGAGGAUGUU
rnacentral:lncRNA from 1 species